rnacentral:rRNA from 1 species
GACGAACGCUGGCGGCGUGCUUAACACAUGCAAGUCGAACGGAGAAUUUUACUUCGGUGAAAUUCUUAGUGGCGAACGGGUGAGUAACGCGUAGACAACCUGCCUCUUCGAUGGGGACAACAUCGCGAAAGCGGUGCUAAUACCGAAUGAAGUGGAGCUUCCGCAUGGAAGCAUCACCAAAGGUGGCCUCUAUUUAUAAGCUACCACUGAGAGAUGGGUCUGCGUCUGAUUAGCUAGUUGGCGGGGUAAUGGCCCACCAAGGCGACGAUCAGUGGCCGGUCUGGGAGGAUGAACGGACACAUUGGGACUGAGACACGGCCCAAAGUCCUACGGGAGGCAGCAGUGGGGAAUCUUCCGCAAUGGACGAAAGUCUGACGGAGCAACGCCGCGUGAGUGAAGAAGGUUUUCGGAUCGUAAAGCUCUGUUGUUUGAGACGAAUGUGCAGACUUUGAAUAAGGGUUUGUAAUGACGGUAUUAAACGAGAAAGCCACGGCUAACUACGUGCCAGCCGCCGCUGUAA